rnacentral:rRNA from 1 species
UAUGGAGGGAGCUAGCGUUGUUCGGAAUUACUGGGCGUAAAGCGCACGUAGGCGGCUUUGUAAGUUAGAGGUGAAAGCCCGGGGCUCAACUCCGGAAUUGCCUUUAAGACUGCAUCGCUAGAAUUGUGGAGAGGUAAGUGGAAUUCCGAGUGUAGAGGUGAAAUUCGUAGAUAUUCGGAAGAACACCAGUGGCGAAGGCGACUUACUGGACACAUAUUGACGCUGAGGCGCGAAAGCUAGGGGAGCAAACGGG